rnacentral:RNase_P_RNA from 2 species
ACAGGGGGCUGGAUGGCCGCGGGGGCAACCUCGAGGAAAGUCCGGACUCCACAAGGCAAUGGUGCCGGGUAACGCCCGGCUGGGGAAACCCAAGGGAUAGCGCCACAGAGAAGAGACUGCCCUGCUUGUCAGGGUGAUGGUGAAACGGUGGGGUAAGAGCCCACCGCGGGACUGGCAACAGAACCGGCGCGGCAAGCCCCACCAGGAGCAAUGCCAAAUAGGGACCGCGUGCCGCAUGGCAGGGGUGUCUUGCCCCGAGCAGGUCCGGGUUGGCAGCUAGAGGGCGCUUGGCAACAGGCGCUUUAGAUGAAUGGUCAUCCAAGGGUUUCGACCCUGGACAGAAUCCGGCUUAUAGGCCCCCUGUGCUG